rnacentral:rRNA from 1 species
UACGUAGGGGGCAAGCGUUGUCCGGAAUUAUUGGGCGUAAAGAGCUCGUAGGCGGUUUGUCGCGUCGAAUGUGAAAACCCGGGGCUCAACCCCGGGCCUGCAUUCGAUACGGGCAGACUAGAGUUCGGUAGGGGAGUCUGGAAUUCCUGGUGUAGCGGUGAAAUGCGCAGAUAUCAGGAGGAACACCGGUGGCGAAGGCGGGACUCUGGGCCGAUACUGACGCUGAGGAGCGAAAGCGUGGGGAGCGAACAGG